rnacentral:rRNA from 1 species
AGUACGUGAAACUGCUUAGAGGUUAAGCCCGAUGAACCUGAAUAUCCAUUAUGGAAAAUUCAUCACUAAUACUAUGAUAUAUAAAAAAUAUUAUAGAAAUAGUGUGCAAUUUUUCCAUAUAAGGACAUUGUAAUCUGUUAAUGUCAUAAAUAUUUAUUAAAAGAUCUUAUACUUAAGUUUAUUCAAAUUAGUUAUUUUCGAAUUUCUAACAUAGAAUAAGUGUAUUUGAUUUAAUAAAUCAUUGACAGAUUUAAUUAUAAUAUAGUGCUUAAAUUUUGAAAGAAAUUUUACAAUAAUAUGACAAUUCAAUUUGAUUGUAUUUAUUGUAUGCGCUUAUAUGAUUAACAAUGCGAUAGAUUCAGGAUACCUUCGGGACCCGUCUUGAAACACGGACCAAGGAGUCUAACAUAUGUGCAAGUCAUUGGGUAUUUUUAAUAAAACCCAAUGGCAUAAUUAACUUAACUGUAAAAAAUGGGAUUAGUUUAUAUUUUAUUAUGAAAUAUUAAUUCAAUCCCGGGGCGUUCUAUAUAGUUAUGUAUAAUGAUAUUUAUAUUAUUUAUGCCUCUAACU